rnacentral:rRNA from 1 species
AUGAGCCCCUGCGCAAGGUCCAACAGCCAUCUGUUAUCAUGCAUUGCUUCCUGGACAGUGCGCUUCUUCCUGACGGCUAUCUUAAAUAAGUUAGGGGCCACUGUUUUUGGGCACAAGUCUUGGAGCCAUCAAUCCUGCCAGAAGUUGGCCAACCUGCCGUCAUUCACUGUGAUUGUUGUUGCCAUAGAGAAAAGCGCCCCAUCGGAGCUGUCGCAUGGUAGGGUCGAGCCGACCCAAGGUCUCUGCGGCUCCUGCCAAGACAUCCAGAGCCAGCGUAGGCGGAGCACGCGCCCAAACCGCUCUAGAUCGAAAACUCCCAAGCCCCCCAAGUGCUUCGGCCUUGCCAGUAGCUUCCAGCUGACCCUACAUUCUCCACCAUUGCACGCCGACUCACCGCUCCACAACUAG